rnacentral:lncRNA from 7 species
GUGUUUUCUUUCAGAUCCUGCUACUGCUUCAAGAGAAGCCAGGCAGCUGACUAAUUGCUGAUUCAGUAUCCUUCAGCUGCCUUGUGCAGCAGUGCUGUUGGUUGCAUACAUACUGCAACAAUGGGAGACAAUAGAGCUCUGAAAAACAAAUGAAACAGAAAACAGUUGUUCAUUCUGAAAUGAACUAGAUGACAGUGCUGGUGAAACUGGUUAAAUUUAAAACACAAAAUGAGAUCUAGUUCAGCUCCUAAUGUGCUCACAACACCAUGAAUAAAAAGUGAAGAGCAAGUUUUUAUUUCUAAAGAGAUACUCCUACAAUGAACUAGUGCCUGCUAGUGCAGAUACAGACAGUGUCUCAGAUGUGUUCACAACAAGAAACUACAUAUACAGUGGUAUCUGCUGGAAACAAGUGACUAAGCAACUUUGCACUAUGGUAUCUUUUACUCACAACUUUCCUCUGGAUCUUGACCCCACUGUAUCCAGUGUCUAAGCAUGAAUGUCCCCUUCUUGACUUGCUUUUCAUGGGUCAAAGUGAAGGCUACAGUUUCCUUCCUGUAUGACAGAAAUGACCAGCUGCCACACCUCCUUGUUGAUGGAUUGAGGUGUUUCUAGACCUGGAGCUGCAUUCCCUCCAGCUGUCACUGAUGUAUACAAUUUUUACUAUGCAAGAAUAAAGGGACUUUAGUG